UCGUAAUUGUCUUGUUGAUAUAUUUUUUAAUAUCCUAUACAGGUCAUAACAUAUAAACUUCUCCUCGCUAUUUGAACAUAGAUUUAAAGACGUAAGAAAUGAUUAUAACGAAGGUAGAACUAACAAAUUAAACUGUAUUUACUUUGCCGUAGCAGUGGUGAUUGUUUUGACCAUAUGUUUACCAUCAUACGCUUUAUCACAGUGGCCUGAUUCAGUCUACGAAGUUCGUUCGUUUGAAUGUAUAGUAGAUCACCUAAAGUUUAUUAAAGUGUUGACAGAUGAUGAAAGUGCCGAGAUUCAAAUUCUGACAUCAGAUAAGGAAAAGAACAGGAAACUAAUGGAAAUACUUUUGAGUGGAGGAGAAGACCAUUAUAAUAAAUUCCUCGAUGCCUUAAACGCAUUUGAAAAAUACAAAGACCUCGCAAAACGAAUAAAAAACACUGGAGUUACACCUGAUGAUAAAAAAUUCUUUCAAAAUUGCAUAGAAAGUAGUGAUAAAAACGUGUCGAAGGUCAAUACAAACAAAUGACCAGUAACACAGAUUGAAAAGUACAUGUAUAUCGAAUUAAUUAAAAAUACAAAAAUUAACUAGA